rnacentral:rRNA from 1 species
UACGUAGGGGGCUAGCGUUGUCCGGAUUUAUUGGGCGUAAAGAGCGUGUAGGCGGCCCGGUAAGUCCGCUGUAAAAGUCAAAGGCUCAACCUUUGAAUGUCAGUGGAUACUGCCGGGCUAGAGUCCGGAAGAGGCGAGUGGAACUCCUGGUGUAGCGGUGGAAUGCGCAGAUAUCGGGAGGAACACCGGUGGCGAAGGCGGUUCUCUGGGCCUUACCUGACGCUGAGGAGCGAAAGCGUGGGGAGCGAACAGG